AAGUUCCCAGGUGAUGUUGAUGCUGCUGGUCCAGCGCCACACCUGAGAACCACUGCCUAGCUAUAGGGAACUGUUGAAAAUACACUCUUCCUCGUGUAACACUUGAGAAACUCUGAUUCAUUCUUUUCCCACCUCAUUGCUUCCUAGAUUCAAUGAAGAUUCAGGCCUGCAUUGAAAUCCCAGCUCACUCCUGAUUAGUCACCUGCCUCAGGAGGCUAUAGCCCUCAGGGGGCUCUUGUGAGUAGCAAGAAUAUAUUAAGUUAAACGGCUACUAAGGUGCCUGAUAACAAAUCCAAAAGUUCGCUGGUUACCAACACAAUGCCUAUAGUCAUCAGACAAAAAGCCUAAAUGAAAGCAUCCUCCUUUGUCAAGUGUGUUCAACUGGGACACCUGAGCGGGCCAGAAGGGACUCAUCUGCGGUCAUUGAAACAUCAUCUUCUUUCGUAUCUUCAUAUAAUUGCAAUAUUGAUGAUUAUUGGCCAUUUUACAGAUUUCUUAACAAAAUUGAACAGUAAACCAUGGUUCUAAUUUAGUGGUUCUUAAACUUUUCAGGUCCUGGACUGACUUUGAGAAACUGAGGAAAGCUAUGGACACUUCUCCCAGGUGAAGACCAUAAGAGAAAAAACGAAGUUUCCUAGAGAAGAAAUUCUGCUUCCAGACUGUAAUACAGAAAUUCUGCUGAGUUUCCAGCCUGCCAGCCUGCCUACAGAUUUCUGCCUUGUCAGCCCUUACAGUGAUAUGAGACAAUUCCUUUAACUUCUUGAUAGAUAUGUAGAUAGAUAGAUAAAUGGACAGAUAGAUAUAGAUAAGAUAUAGAGGUAUAUAAACAUACACAUGCAUAUCUAUAUAUCAAUAAUCAUAAUCAUAAUCUAAGCAUAAUUAACUAGAUUUAGUUAUACAUUGGAUAAGGAGUUAAAGGAUAGUGUAUUAUAGCCUAGGUUUCUAUUUAAACAACUGAGCAGAUAGUGAUUUUAUUUAUUGAAAUGGAGGUAACUGGGAAAAAAUAAGCAUUUGGGUGGUGAGGGUAGUGGGAAUUAGUUCCCUUUUGUCCAGGUUAAUUUUGUGAUAUCCAAGUAUAUACGUAAAGUUGUGAAUAUGUGAAUGUAGAGCUGAGUGGGUGGUUUAAGUUAAAGAUAAAAUUAUAGGAUUGCCACAUAAAUAUGAUAUUUAGAGUUAAGGAACUUGAGGAGAAUUUCUAGUAGGAGAAUGAAAGAUGACUUAUGACCAAGUCCAGAGAGCCUAGGACCACAGUGUGAGGAGAACCAACAGUUAGAGCUCAGGUGGAAGUGGAAACACAGGAGUGAUGAGAGAAGGAAGAGGUAAAUGCGUGCUAUGGUGUCACAGACCUAGCAAGAGAAUAGUCAAUAGUGUGGAAUGAUUCAGAUUUAUCUAGCAAGAUAAGGCUAGAAAAAAAAGCGUUACAUGGGAUUGGCAAAAUGGAUGUCAUUAAUGACCUCAGCAAGAGUAUUUUUUGACUGGUGGGGAGGCAGCAAGACAGAUUCAGAUAG
rnacentral:lncRNA from 1 species